rnacentral:pre_miRNA from 1 species
UGGAAGACUAGUGAUUUUGUUGUUUUGACAAAGAGGAGACAACAAAUCACAGCCUGCCAUC